GUCUUCCUACGGGACGCAGCAGUGAGGAAUAUUGGUCAAUGGACGCAAGUCUGAACCAGCCAAGUAGCGUGCAGGAUGACGGCCCUCCGGGUUGUAAACUGCUUUUAGUUGGGAAUAAAAGGGGGCUCGUGAGCCCCGUAUUGUAUGUACCAUCAGAAAAAGGAUCGGCUAACUCCGUGCCAGCAGCCGCGGUAAUACGGAGGAUGCGAGCGUUAUCCGGAUUUAUUGGGUUUAAAGGGUGCGUAGGCGGGCUUUUAAGUCAGCGGUAAAAAUUCGGGGCUCAACCCCGUCCGGCCGUUGCAACU
rnacentral:rRNA from 1 species